rnacentral:misc_RNA from 1 species
ACCUGAAGAUACCUUCCCGCGCAGUGUCCACACAGAUUGUCUGAUAGAAGUAACGAGCAAAGUAGUAUACAGAGUCCCCAUCGUCUAGAGGCCCAGGACACUGCCCUUUCACGGCUGUAACAGGGGUUCGAAUCCCCUUGGGGACGCCAUACCGGUAACGAAGUGAAAGCCGUUAUCACCCAGUAUCUCAAAACUGAUUUUCUCCGUAAGGAUGAAUCACGUUUGAGAUAUUUGCUCUUUAACAAUCCGGAACAAGCUGAAAAUUGAAACGACAUAUUGUUUUCAUUCUCCGUAAUAAGAAUGAAGGUGACGAUAUGUUCGAGUCUCUCAAAUGCUUACAGCUGACAGCGAGUCCUGCGGGACGCCUGUGGGUUGUGA